rnacentral:rRNA from 1 species
GGAUUAGUGGCGAACGGGUGAGUAACACGUGAGUAACCUGCCUUACACAAGGGGAUAGCCUCUGGAAACGGAGAAUAAUACCCUAUAAAGUCUAAUCAGCACAUGCUGGAAAGACCAAAGAUUUAUCGGUGUAAGAUGGACUUGCGUCUGAUUAGCUAGUUGGUGAGAUAAAAGCUCACCAAGGCGACGAUCAGUAGCCGGCUUGAGAGAGUGUACGGCCACAUUGGGACUGAGACACGGCCCAAACUCC